AAUUGCUUCAAGCAGAACUUGAGAGAACACGAAUCAAUACAGCAUGCUUCAUUGAGUCAAUUACCUUGGAUUCGGUGCCAGAAUCAGCAAAAGCUGCUUAUGGCUUCCGAAGGUCAAUGGAUUCCCCUAGCAGAAACUACAGAGGCACACAAGCAAUGGGAUCCCCAAGUUUCUCUCGGCAGAGGCAUUGAUGAUGAAGUCAUCAUUGGUAAUUGCAACUUUUGCUUUCACAGUUUUCCCC
rnacentral:misc_RNA from 1 species